rnacentral:misc_RNA from 1 species
GUGAAUCAUCAAAUUUUUGAACGCAAAUUGCACUCUCCUCGGAGAGUAUGCCUGUUUGAGUGUCAGCCUAAAAAAAAUCGAAAUAGUUGCUGUUCUGCGGUGUCUUUCGUUGGAAAUUGGGUUAUCUUAAACCUUUUGGUUUAAGCGACUUAAAAUUUUCCUUUUGAUUCGAUGAAUGUUUCUAAGAUUUAUUUUUUUACACGUUUAUGUUAUCGAUUUUUAUUAGUCGUGACAAUUAUAU